ACGGGGUGCAGCAGGCGCGAAACCUUUACAAUGCACGCAAGUGUGAUAAGGGGAUCCCAAGUGCCUAUGUUUUUCAUAGGCUUUUCUAAAGUUUAAAACGCUUUAGGAAUAAGAGCUGGGUAAGACGGGUGCCAGCCGCCGCGGUAAUACCCGCAGCUCGAGUUAUUUGGAGUUUUAUUGGGUCUAAAGCGUUCGUAGCCGGUCUUUCAAGUUCCCUGUGAAAUCUGACCGCUUAACGGUUAGACGCGCAGAGAAUACUGUAAGACUAGGGAGUGGAAUGGGCCAGAGGUACUCUUGGGGUAGGGGUGAAAUCCAAUAAUCCUGAGGGGACCACCUGUGGCGAAGGCGUCUGGCUAAGACACGUCCGACGGUGAGGAACGAAAGCUAGGGGAGCAAAUCGGAUUAGAUACCCGAGUAGUCCUAGCCGUAAAUGAUGCAGACUAGGUGUUGCAUGUUCUUCUUGAGCAUGCAGUGCCGAAGGGAAGCCGUUAAGUCUGCCACCUGGAAGUACGUCGACAAGG
rnacentral:rRNA from 1 species